CUCACCAAUCUGCCUCUCCGAGCCUGGAAGGAGCCAAGGUGGGAACCAGGAACCCCUAGAUGGUCCUCCAGGCAGGCCCUUUCCCGUCUGGGGCCUCUUCCUCGGAUCCCAGGCCUUAGAUCAUAGCACACACAGAAUAACGUGGCUGGGAGGAAGUGUGGAGGGAUUUUGUUUCCUGGAUUGGAAUGAGAAGGUCUCUAGAGCAUGAGAACUCCAAGGAUCUCAUCCACAGGCGAAAAGAAGACUGUCUUCCUUUUUUUUAUCAACAAAGCAAAAAAUUCCCCACACCCUAUCUCCCCUCCAGUCUUUCCCUUGGGCCUCAUUGGCCAACAUUGGGUCACAUGACCACUCCCAGCUAUGUAAGAGACUAGGAGAGCCGGAAAUAGGAUUUCCAGGAUUGGCACAACCUUGGCUGUAUUCGCAGAGAUUCUGACUCAGUUGGUCUGGGGUGGGGCUUGAUGUUGGUAUUUAUUAAAUGCUCCAAAACCUAGGAUUUUCUAAAAAAUUGUAAUUAUUUUUCACUACCGUAUGGUGCCAUCUGAAGUAAUCAUCUUCAACUAAGCCCACCCUAGGCUCUGAACAAGCCACCUUAUCGUAUUGACUAGGAUUCUCCAGAUUAUCCUGUAGCCCCUGCUCCCUUUGGGACUGAUUAUAUAGGUGAUGAAUUAGUACAUUUUUAGGUUGUUUGUGAAUUUGCAGUUAGUAACUGGUUAGCUAAGCAGCUGGCUAACUAAUAGAAUGCUUAGUUGGCUUUUCCUCUUGUUUAUGUGUCUGGCACAUAGUAGGUACUUGAUAAAUAUUUCUUUGGGUGGAUGAAUCCAUAAAAUGGAGAUUAAAAAUAGAGUUAAUACAGCAUCAAAUGAGAAAGUAGCUAUGGAACCAUUUUGUAAAUGAUAAGACAGUGUACAGAUAUAAGAAUAAACAUUUAUAUGAAAAGCUAUUAAUACUUUCAUGUUUAGGGCCAAGGAAAACUUUCCCCCCAUUAUUCACCAAGGAAAUAGUGUUUCCACAUUUCUGAAAUGGAGAACUACCAUUUUGCCCUGUUGGUAGUAAGCCAGAAUUUUCUCUCAAUUAGAGCAACUUCUUCAACACUUAGUGAUGGCAUAUAUUCUUUCUCCUUUUUCCUCGACCCUACUUUGCCUUUCUACUUGUAUUAUUAUUUUCUUAUUUUGGUUAUAAAUUACCUCAAGCCUUUUUGAGAAAGAGGUGGGAUAAAAUACAUUUUAAAAAUACUUGGGAACUAACCUUUAUUAUCUAC